AACAGCAAUAAUUGUUUACCAGAAGGUGUUAAUCCUACAAAUCCGGCAUCUAAUCAUCAGCAGUUUUUAAUAAGCUUACUGGCUAUUUUAAACAUUUUCUGGCUAUUUUAAACAUUUUCUUUAAAAAAAUAUAUAUAUCAAAUACAUUGAGCAUGUGUAAAAUUUGAACAAGUCCCUCAUACACAUAAAACAAAAUCUGAUCCAGUUUUCUGUUCACACUUUAAACCCAGGAUUGACUUUCCCAGUAUUUUCCCAGCACACGUGCACAACCCCAUCAUCAUCAACUGCAGAGAAAACAAGUGUAUAAAGCAAGUGUAGAGUGCGUGUGCGUACCUUUUUUUGCUCCAGUAAGGGCAGAGAGUCUAUGAGCAGAGUCAUCCAGAAGCUGUGUGGAGAGAUCUUUGCUGUCAUGAGGGAGAGCAGGAGCUUCACCGCCUCUGUGAACUUCUUCUCUUCAUACACUCAUGGUACUUUAUUGUCAAAUGACAAAGCGCGGUGAUGCACAGUGGGAGCCUAUCUUCCCGAGCGGGAAUGGCACCAGCAGUUGGAAGAAAAAUGGAAGAACACACUUAACUGACAAGUCCUUUGCUCUGUUGCGGGAUGAAGCGUGGAGAAAACUGGGUAACGGCGGACGGCAGAGAUAAAGGAGGUGGAUAACGCUUAGUACGUGAGGUAACCACGAAGGGAGUCAGAAUGGUAGCUACUCACAUAGAGCCUGAUGAGACCAGAUAACAAGUAUGUGAUAUCAGUGUGCUUAUGAAUAGUUCAUGAUUAGGGUGAUACAGGUGUGGCAGGUUAGUACUCAGGUGAUUGUGAACAGGUAAGUGGAGCUGAAGGACCUGGUGUUGACGGUAUGCUGGAUGAAUCUGUGACAGAACACCCCCCCCCCCCCCGCCUCAGGAAGUCUUUAUCACUCCCAGAAUCUGCCUCCU
ensembl:lncRNA